rnacentral:rRNA from 1 species
CCCUUAGAUGUUCUGGGCUGCACGCGCGCUACACUGACAUACUCAGCAAGUUUCCUUUCCCGAAAGGGUUCGGUAAUCUUGUUAGUGUAUGUCGUGAUGGGGAUAGAAUAUUGUAAUUAUUGCUCUUUAACGAGGAAUUCCUAGUAAGCGCAAGUCAACAGCUUGCGCUGAUUACGUCCCUGCCCUUUGUACACACCGCCCGUCGCUCCUACCGAUUGGGUGAUCCGGUGAAUGGUUCGGACUCUGGCUAUGCUAGCUACUAGCUACGUCAGGGAAAGUUCUGUGAACCUUAUCACUUGGAGGAAGGAGAAGUCGUANCA